CGCGUAGGCGGACUAUUAAGUCAGGGGUGAAAUCCCGGGGCUCAACCCCGGAACGGCCCUUGAUACUGGUAGUCUUGAGUUCGAGAGAGGUGAGUGGAAUUCCGAGUGUAGAGGUGAAAUUCGUAGAUAUUCGGAGGAACACCAGUGGCGAAGGCGGCUCACUGGCUCGAUACUGACGCUGAGGUGCGAAAGUGUGGGGAGCAAACA
rnacentral:rRNA from 1 species